rnacentral:rRNA from 1 species
UUUCCUCAUGCUAGUCGAGGGGAAACGACAUUGGAAGCUUGCUUCCGAUGGGCGUCGACCGGCGCACGGGUGAGUAACGCGUAUCCAACCUGCCCACCACUUGGGAAUAACCUUGCGAAAGUAAGACUAAUGCCCAAUGAUAUUGAGUGCGGACAUCUAAUCUCAAUUAAAGAUUCAUCGGUGAUGGAUGGGGAUGCGUCCGAUUAGCUUGUUGGCGGGGUAACGGCCCACCAAGGCAACGAUCGGUAGGGGUUCUGAGAGGAAGGUCCCCCACAUUGGAACUGAGACACGGUCCAAACUCCUACGGGAGGCAGCAGUGAGGAAUAUUGGUCAAUGGGCGAGAGCCUGAACCAGCCAAGUAGCGUGCAGGAUGACGGCCCUAUGGGUUGUAAACUGCUUUUAUAAGGGAAUAAAGUGGGGCUCGUGAGCUCCUUUGCAUGUACCUUAUGAAUAAGGACCGGCUAAUUCCGUGCCAGCAGCCGCGGUAAUACGGAAGGUCCGGGCGUUAUCCGGAUUUAUUGGGUUUAAAGGGAGCGUAGGCCGCAGGUUAAGCGUGUUGUGAAAUGUAGGGGCUCAACCUCUGCACUGCAGCGCGAACUGGCUUGCUUGAGUACGCACAACGUGGGCGGAAUUCGUGGUGUAGCGGUGAAAUGCUUAGAUAUCACGAAGAACUCCGAUUGCGAAGGCAGCUCACGGGAGCGCAACUGACGCUGAAGCUCGAAAGUGCGGGUAUCGAACAGGAUUAGAUACCCUGGUAGUCCGCACGGUAAACGAUGGAUGCCCGCUGUUGGCUUGAAUUAGUCAGCGGCCAAGCGAAAGCAUUAAGCAUCCCACCUGGGGAGUACGCCGGCA